ACUGAAACUGGGGAAAUGGCUAGUUUGGGGCAGUCUAAAGGUUAGAAUUGUUAUUACUAGCACCUCCUAAAUCCCACUAAUUAACAUCUGUAGAAGUUUGGAAAACAUUGUUUUUCACACACACACACACACACACACACACACACUGUUAUUGUUCUUCUCAGCUAACUAAGCAACCAGAGGAAUAAUCAUACUUCACCAAAUGUUGAAACCAUUCUUUUAGUUUGAUGCUUUGACCCGUUGUAUUGUCAUUUUUUAAGUCAUAUUCCAUAUAUAUACACACACACACACGCACACACACACAUUUCUAUUCAUUUCAUUUAUUGCAAUUUUUGCUUUAACAUAUAACUUUAUUGUACAUUGCCUCUUAUCUUAUGUCAGGAUUCAGUUCUGUGUAACACAGAAUGGAUGAAGCUAUAAAGAUGUGUGAAGAUCGUGAUUAAAUUGAAUCAUGUUUGUAGAUAUUGAAAUGUAAUUGAAAUUGCAGCAAUUUGAGACAAUCUUUAGAUAUUGUCUACUUAACACAAAUCUUAUUAAGUUGAAUUCCUGAAAUUGACACUUUUGGCAUUAUUUUCUAAAAAAAAAGAAAUGUGUAGGUGUGUCUUAAUGUUGGUAUGCAAACAAUUUAAAGAAUUCAAUAAAAAUACAAAUUUGGUAUAAUGGAA